rnacentral:rRNA from 1 species
UGGGGAAUUUUGGACAAUGGGGGCAACCCUGAUCCAGCAAUGCCGCGUGUGUGAAGAAGGCCUUCGGGUUGUAAAGCACUUUUGUCCGGGAAGAAAUCCCCUGCCCUAAUACGGCGGGGGGAUGACGGUACCGGAAGAAUAAGCACCGGCUAACUACGUGCCAGCAGCCGCGGUAAUACGUAGGGUGCGAGCGUUAAUCGGAAUUACUGGGCGUAAAGCGUGCGCAGGCGGUGAUGUAAGACCGAUGUGAAAUCCCCGGGCUCAACCUGGGGAACUGCAUUGGUGACUGCAUUGCUCGAGUAUGGCAGAGGGGGGUGGAAUUCCACGUGUAGCAGUGAAAUGCGUAGAGAUGUGGAGGAACACCGAUGGCGAAGGCAGCCCCCUGGGCCAAUACUGACGCUCAUGCACGAAAGCGUGGGGGAGCAAACAGGAUUAGAUACCCUGGUAGUCCACGCCCUAAACGAUGUCAACUGGUUGUCGGGCCUUCAUUGGCUUGGUAACGUAGCUAACGCGUGAAGUUGACCGCCU